rnacentral:rRNA from 1 species
AUUGAACGCUGGCGGCAGGCCUAACACAUGCAAGUCGAGCGGAGCGGCGGACGGGUGAGUAAUGCCUAGGAAUCUGCCUGGUAGUGGGGGAUAACGUCCGGAAACGGGCGCUAAUACCGCAUACUAUCAGAUGAGCCUAGGGCGGAUUAGCUAGUUGGUGGGGUAAAGGCCUACCAAGGCGACGAUCCGUAACUGGUCUGAGAGGAUGAUCAGUCACACGGGAACGGAGACAUGGGCCAGAAUCCUACGGGGGGCAGCAGUGGGAAAUAUUGGACAAUGGGCGAAAGCCUGACCAAGCCAGGCCGGGGGUGUGAAGAAGGUCUUCGGAUUGUAAAGCACUUUAAGUUGGGAGGCGUUACCAACAGAAUAAGCACCGGCUAACUCCGUGCCAGCAGCCGCGGUAAGAC